UAACAAGGUUUCCGUAGGUGAACCUGCGGAAGGAUCAUUGUCGAAACCUGCCCAGCAGAACGACCCGCGAACUUGUGAUCACUCUUGAGGGGAUCCGGUGCACGUCGCUCGAUCUCCGCGAGUUUGAGCGUCGUGAGCCGCCUUCCCGCCCGUCGCGUUGGGCGAGCYGUGUCUCGUUCCUCGUGGCGAAACAACGAACCCCGGCGCGAACUGCGCCAAGGAAAAUCCAACGAGGAAGCACGCUGCCGCCGGCCCCGUACGCGGUGCGCCUGCGGGAUGCGUUGCCUUCUUUCAACAAAAAAUACGAAACGACUCUCGGCAACGGAUAUCUCGGCUCUCGCAUCGAU
rnacentral:misc_RNA from 1 species